AUGUAAUGUAAUUCCUACAAUGUUAAUGCAUUGGAUCCCAUUAGAACUUCGUAGUUAAGCACGCUCGGGAUAGAGUAGUAUUGGGGUGGGUGACCUCCCGAGAAUUCCUAGUGUUUUACAUG
rnacentral:rRNA from 1 species